rnacentral:misc_RNA from 1 species
AUCACUGUUAAAUUAUAUAUCUGCUUUAAAUGGGCUUAUUAGCCUUUGCAGAUUAUUGACAUAAACAUCUGUUCCAUUUCUAUCUCUAUACAUUAUAACUACAUGUAUAUAAAUACAUAGAUCAAGAGUAGACUAGCUGAACAUGUAUAGCUUAUUAAGUUUUAUAUUUUAUUGCAGAUGUGACAUGAGCAAAAAAGAUCCAAAAUGAACAUUAACUAUUCUAGUCAGACAAAGUAUUAGCCCAAGUCUUAUGAACCUAGUCUAUUCCUUCCACCAGUACACAGAAUAUGGCAGAACGAGACAAUGAACCAGUCGUGGAAUCUACAUAUUUAAUUCACGAGCCAUUAUAUGGACAGGGUAUUCUUGCCACGCUUAAUAAGUACAGAAUCUCAGGGACUUUUACUGACGCAAUCAUAACAAUUGAACAUGAGGAAUUUCCUUGUCAUAGAGGGGUCCUAGCUGCUAGCUCCCCAUACUUUAUGGCACUAUUCUCCAGUGAUUUAAAGGAGGGGAAAGAGGCAAGAGUUGUAUUCAAAGACAUGUCAGCUUGGACUGUCAAGAGACUUAUCGAAUACGCAUACAGUGGUAGUUUAGAAAUCACCGUAAACAAUGCCCAGGAGAUACUGGCAGCAGCUAAUCUUCUAGAAUUUCCUGUAGUCGUAGAUGCAUGUUGUAGGUUUCUAGAGACUCAGCUUCAUCCAACAAAUUGUCUGGGUAUUGAAAAAUUUGCUCAAUUACAUUCUUGUGAUCAUUUAGCGAAAAUUGCUCACAAGCAAGCUUUGGAAAAUUUUAGCUCUGUCGUGGAGUCUGAUGAGUUCCUUAAUUUGAGUGUUGACAUUCUAUCACACUACAUAUCAAGUGAUCAUAUAGACGUUAGGUAUGAAGAGACUGUAUAUGAAGCAGUCAUAAAAUGGAUCAAGUCAGAUAUUGAUAUUCGUGUGAAAUAUCUUCCUGAACUUCUGCAGCAUGUACGCCUUCCAACUGUUGAUCUGAAAUAUCUCGAAGACAUUGUGGAGAAGGACUCUCUUAUUCAAAGUUCUGUUGAAUGCCGAGCAUUUGUCCAAGAUGCCAAACUCUACCACGAAACAAAAACAGAUCAAAGUGGUAAGCGAAGACUGAGUAUGCAAAAGACUACUUUACCCAGACCAUCCACUGUUGCUAAGGAGUGCAUUGUGAUUGUUGGUGGUAUCGAUGUCUACAUUCAAACCAGUGUAGAAAUGUAUGAGCCACAUAAAGAUAAAUGGAGUAAGCUGCCUGAUCUCCCCGAAAUGGUAUCUUGGUAUAGUGUGUCAUCAUUACACAAUAACGUUUAUGUACUUGGUGGAAUCGUUAAUGGUCGUAUUGUGCCAACUGCCUGGAAGUUUGACUCAGCUAAACGACUCUGGUCAAAAAUAAUGCCUAUGAUUACAGCGAGAGCUAAGCAUGUUUCGACAAGCAUGGACAACAAGAUAUUUGUGUUAGGAGGGAUUAAAGCAGAUGAUACCACAGAUGUCGAAGAAAUAGAAUGUUAUGAUUAUGCUACCAAGCAGUGGAGUCUAGUCGGUAGAUCACCUAGCCCCAGGAAGCAGUCGUGUAUUGUGCCCUAUAACCAGACACUUAUUGAAGUCGGGGGAACUGUUGGAUCCAAAACAACCGAGAGUUACGUUUAUAAUGGCAAAACGUUAGUCUACAGUGGAGAACAAUUUGUACUUUCUGAAUCUAUUCAAUUCGCAAAGAUUGUGGUUCUUAAUUCAGUGUUCUUCAUUAUAUGGGAAGAUAGCAAGCAAGUUAUUGCAAUGGACCCUGUAAAGCGAACAUUCCGCCGUCUUGCAGACAUGAAUUACUCUCAUGUUCACAGUGGAAUAUGUGUAAUUGAUAACAGGAUUUACAUAACUGGUGGGCUAAUGGACAGUAAACCAAGCCAGGUGAUAGAGGUAUACGAUUCAGAGUUAGAUACUUGGACAGUUGUGAAAUCUAUGUAUCUGGCCAGAGCUUGCCAUGGAUGUGUUAGCAUUCAGAUGUAAUCUCUUCUCUGAUUGGUCGACAAAAAUUGGUGUGUUCGAGAGUUAAACUACACAUAAUAGUUUAUUAACAGUGAAUACACAUUGUCAUUUCUGGUAGAUUAGAUUAUGUAGAACAAUCAUAAAGGACCUUAGCUAUAAAUUGUUCAAAACUGACCGUUUCAUACGUCAUAUGGCAAGUAUGUACUCAAUUAGUCUCAAUCAGUUCUGAGAACAAGUCAGUAUUGUGCAAAUGUAAUAUGAUGUCACCACCGCAAAUGCAACAUAUUGUUAUAAACACCAACUUUUUGUGGACAUUGUACAUCAGUUGGGGUUCAUUCACAGUUUGGUGUCUAUAACAAAUGGCAGGUGGGGACAUUUUGCAUGUUUAUGCAUUGUGUUUCAUGUCGGUAGUUUUAAUAAUCAUAUUUAUUUAUUACUUUAAUCAUUGUAAUGAUAUUGUUUCAUGUUUACACCCAGUAUUAGUAUAUUGCAAUAUAAUAUUUAUUAUAAAUAGUCAUAAUAUCACAUAGAUUCUCAUUGAAAAUAACUGUAAAGACUGUAGAUGCUAGAUAUAUUCAAAACAGUCAAUUAUAUCAUAAAUUGCUUAGAAACUUUGUAUCUAGUAGUUUUAAACAUUGUUUAUUAAAUGAGGAUUUGUUUAGAAAUGUUUUUUGUUGUUGUUGUUAUAACAUGCUAUAAAAUCAGGAAAAGUGGACAGAUGGAAAUUCUGUUAACCGAUAUGUGUUGAGCAAAAUUCAUUUAUGUGCCUUGAAAUGAAUGCCCAUUGAUUUCAAGGAGGAUUGGCUCCCAUGCCCAGAGUGCAACAUCGAUAUUCUGUCCAAUAUCUGGGCAUGUUGUGAUACAAAAUUCAAAUUCGAACAUUCGCCAUUCUGUUCACUUAAACAUUUGAAUCGUGGAUUUUGGUCUUAUUUCUAAUGAAAAAUUCCAAAACUCGCAAGAAAUGAUCGAGAUAUCGGUUUGAAUCUUUUGAACUGUUUAUUUUGAAUUUAUUAGUCAGUUAUAAUUUCAGAUAAUAAUGACAUUUCGACGUUUUUAUUGUUUGAAAAUAUCGAGUUUCGAUCCUGGGAGCCAAUCCUCCUUGCAUGGAUUUGAAAUGAAUAAUCGAGGGGAAUUUAUAGAGGGUAUUUAUUCUGAGAAAAUCAAACAUUUUUGUGAUAUAAUGUAUUGGUAACUCUUUAAUGUUUCUCAUCAUAAUUCCUGUUCUUACAGUACAUGAAAGCAGAUUCAGUGUGUAGUUCCGGUAUGAUUCAACCAGGCAAAUAGAUUUUAUGCCAUACAUAUGCAUAUGCCAUGCAUAUAUUGAUAAUUGACUGUCCUAAGCCAUGUAAGCAUAACAUAGAUGUACUUUUUUUACAUUUUGUUCUUAAGUUCAGAUCAUCAGUAGAUGUUCUGUAACAGAUUAAAACUACUUCAAUAUACUGGUAUCUACAUGAAUAUAAGUAUGAACCAAUUUUGACAAUCUAAUUAGAAUUGUACAUCAUAAUAAAUAAAUAUUACAGUUUUUGAAAUAAAUUAUUAUUUAAUACAUUUUGUUCAGUUUUUAGGUUUAAUAUUGGACAAUAUAUGGGCUGCAGUGAUCUCCCCGGGAUUUUUUCUCAGAUGGGACCAAAAUUGGUCAAAAUAUGCCAAUUUUUCAUGACUUCUCAUUUUCAAGUGGGUGCAAAUGGAUUUUCAGGUGGGUGCAAGCCUAUUUUUAAAAUCUCAGGUGGGUGCUGCGCCCACUUAUUUUAAUGCUGGGGAGAACACUGGACUGAUAUCAGUAUUAGAGCAUUGAGGUUAACUAUGAAACUGCAUAUGCUCCUCUCCCCUUUCAUAUAUUUUAGUGAGUGAUAUGUCAUUGUGACAUCAGAGAGUCGAUAAAACUAACAUUUGAAUAUCUGAACUAAGAGGUUUUGGGUUACAUCUUCAAAACUGGGCCUAAUUUUUCAAUCUUUGAAAAUGUUAAUAAUAGAAAAAUUGUGGGAAAUUUUGAUAUGAUAUGGCCUUUGCAUGACCUUUACUGUAUUUCAUUUUCCAAUACACGUAGUUUCAUUUUUCUUUUCUAAAAGAGAGCUUCAUCUACCUGGUAAUCAAUGUUCUAGGCUCUGGCUCUCAGAUUCUUCUUUAGUUCCCUGCACAGGCCCAGGGCC